rnacentral:rRNA from 1 species
UACGGAGGGUGCAAGCGUUAUCCGGAUUCACUGGGUUUAAAGGGUGCGUAGGCGGGCAGGUAAGUCCGUGGUGAAAUCUCUGAGCUUAACUCAGAAACUGCCGUGGAUACUAUCUGUCUUGAAUACCGUGGAGGUGAGUGGAAUAUGUCAUGUAGCGGUGAAAUGCUUAGAUAUGACAUAGAACACCAAUUGCGAAGGCAGCUCACUACACGCCUAUUGACGCUGAGGCACGAAAGCGUGGGGAUCAAACAGG